rnacentral:lncRNA from 1 species
CCCGCGCAGGACUACAUGUCCCAGGAGCCCGCGGGCGGAGCAUGCGCGCUGAGGCUCGGGGGCUAUAAAAGGCCGUGCGCACAGCCGCCAGGUCUCUUCCCGCCCGGGCUCUCGGCAGGUUCGCGGCUGGGGCGCAAUCCGCCGCCAUCCGCCCUGGCGCCCGGUGCCUGGCGCCUCCGCUGGCGGGAGCAGCAUGGCCCGAGCACCCGGAGCCUGGAGAGGCGGGAAUGCCAGGCUGCGUGCACGUAGACAUGAGGAUCCUCUGAAGGUCAAUGUGGAAGACGAAACCUGUUUUCGUGGGAUCUACAGUAACGAUGAAGGGAUUCUUGUGAGAGUCCAAAAUGGGAUGGAUUUAAGCGGUCCGGUGGGCUGGAGCAGCAUGGGCCAAGCAGCCAGAGCCCAGUGCAGGGCAGGGGACCCACUCAGCCCUGCCACACCCUGUGAUGUUCUUCCUGGAGUUGCGGACCAUGCUUGGUGCAGAUGGGUGAAAUGGUGA